rnacentral:rRNA from 1 species
UACGUAGGGUGCAAGCGUUGUCCGGAAUUAUUGGGCGUAAAGAGCUCGUAGGCGGUUUGUUGCGUCGGCUGUGAAAACCUGAGGCUCAACCCCAGGCCUGCAGUCGAUACGAGCAGACUAGAGUGUUGCAGGGGAGACUGGAAUUCCUGGUGUAGCGGUGAAAUGCGCAGAUAUCAGGAGGAACACCGGUGGCGAAGGCGGUUCUCUGGGCCUUACCUGACGCUGGAGGAGCGAAAGCGUGGGGAGCGAACAGG